rnacentral:sRNA from 1 species
GUACCUUCUCACAUACACACCUAU